UACGUAGGGGGCAAGCGUUAUCCGGAUUUACUGGGUGUAAAGGGAGCGUAGACGGCACUGCAAGUCUGGAGUGAAAGCCCGUGGCCCAACCACGGGACUGCUCUGGAAACUGUGUUGCUGGAGUGCAGGAGGGGUAAGCGGAAUUCCUAGUGUAGCGGUGAAAUGCGUAGAUAUUAGGAGGAACACCGGUGGCGAAGGCGGCUUACUGGACUGUAACUGACGUUGGGGCUCGAAGGCGUGGGGAGCAAACAGG
rnacentral:rRNA from 1 species